rnacentral:snRNA from 1 species
GAAUUGAAAGUUUCAUCCUU